GUAGUCCACGCUGUAAACGAUGAAUGCUAGACGUGGUAGGUCUUGACCCCUGCCGUGUCGAAGUUAACACGAUAAGCAUUCCGCCUGGGGAGUACGGUCGCAAGACUAAAACUCAAAGGAAUUGACGGGGGCCCGCACAAGCGGUGGAUCAUGUGGUUUAAUUCGAAGCAACGCGAAGAACCUUACCUGGAUUUGACAUCCUUUGAAUACAGUAGAGAUAUUGUAGGCUCGCAAGAGACAAAGAGACAGGUGCUGCAUGGCUGUCGUCAGCUCGUGUUGUGAAAUGUUGGGUUAAGUCCCGCAACGAGCGCAACCCUUGCCUUUGGUUGCCAUCAUUAAGUUGGGCACUCCAGAGGGACUGCCGUCGUCAAGACGGA
rnacentral:rRNA from 1 species